UACGUAGGGGGCGAGCGUUGUCCGGAUUUAUUGGGCGUAAAGAGCUCGUAGGCGGUUCGAUAAGUCGGACGUGAAAUCUCCACGCUCAACGUGGAGGGGCCGUUCGAUACUGUCGUGACUCGAGUCCGGUAGGGGAGUGUGGAAUUCUCGGUGUAGCAGUGAAAUGCGUAGAUAUCGAGAGGAACACCAGUGGCGAAGGCGAGUCCCUGGACAACUCCUGACACUGAGGCACGAAAGCUAGGGGAGCAAACAGG
rnacentral:rRNA from 1 species